rnacentral:rRNA from 1 species
AUUGAACGCUGGCGGCAUGCUUUACACAUGCAAGUCGAACGGUAACAGGCCUUCGGGUGCUGACGAGUGGCGAACGGGUGAGUAAUGCAUCGGAACGUGCCCAGAGGUGGGGGAUAACGCAGCGAAAGCUGUGCUAAUACCGCAUGUGAUCUGAGGAUGAAAGCGGGGGACCAGGCAGCAAUGUUUGGCCUCGCGCCUUUGGAGCGGCCGAUGUCAGAUUAGGUAGUUGGUGGGGUAAAGGCCUACCAAGCCGACGAUCUGUAGCUGGUCUGAGAGGACGACCGGCCACCCUGGGACUGGAACACGGCCAAGACUCCUACGGGAGGCAGCGGUGGGGAAUUUUGGACAAUGGGCGCAAGCCUGAUCCAGCAAUGCCGCGUGCGGGAAGAAGGCCUUCGGGUUGUAAACCGCUUUUGUACGGAACGAAAAGGCUCUGGCUAAUACCUGGGGCUGAUGACGGUACCGUAAGAAUAAGCACCGGCUAACUACGUG